GUGGGGAAUUUUGGACAAUGGGCGAAAGCCUGAUCCAGCCAUUCCGCGUGAGUGAAGAAGGCCUUCGGGUUGUAAAGCUCUUUCGCAAGGGAAGAAAACUUACCUUCUAAUAAAGGGUGAGGCUGACGGUACCUUGAUAAGAAGCACCGGCUAACUACGUGCCAGCAGCCGCGGUAAUACGUAGGGUGCGAGCGUUAAUCGGAAUUACUGGGCGUAAAGCGUGCGCAGGCUGUUUUGUAAGUCAGAUGUGAAAUCCCCGAGCUCAACUUGGGAACUGCGUUUGAAACUACAAGACUAGAAUAUGUCAGAGGGGGGUAGAAUUCCACGUGUAGCAGUGAAAUGCGUAGAGAUGUGGAGGAAUACCAAUGGCGAAGGCAGCCCCCUGGGAUAAUAUUGACGCUCAUGCACGAAAGCGUGGGGAGCAAACAGG
rnacentral:rRNA from 1 species